CGCGUCCCUCAGCCGGGACGUGAUGAUGUCAUUGGCCUCUGUUGACGCGCAGGACUGCAGGGAGGAUGGGAGGAAGUUGGCAGUGAACGGCGCGAGGCGGUAGGCGGGACUAGAUCGCGCGGCUGAGUUGUGACAACGUCAUCUAUCCCCGCCAGUGCACCGGACCAGGGAGGAGUGAGCAUCAGGUGUGGGGCUUCCCGUGCUGUCCGGCCGCCACCCUCAGUCCUUCUCUGCAUCUCCGCCUCCUCCGCACCAUGCCGGCCACAGCCUCCUCAUCCACCGCACCACAGACCACAGCAUCCUCAGCACCGCCGCUGCUAAAUACUGUAGGCUCUACAGUGAUGUGGGAGCCUGCGAUCUUGUUUCACUUGUUACCAUGACAACCUCCCCGUCCCGCGGCGCACCGUGACGUCACAGCCAGGCGACGCGGAAGCGAGCAGCGUGUGCAGGCGGGCGGCAGCGCCGUGAGGACAGUAUUUCCCCAUACCCCGGAGUCUGUCACGCUAUUGAUAAUUACCGGUGGAGUUUUACAAAGUGCCAUGUAAUUGUUAGAAGUAGCUGCUCACUGACAAAGGAUUUUGUGGAAAUAAAGUGAUAAAAUGAUUGGUUUAGAGAGCAGGCAAGGCUACAGCCAACAGAUCACUGAUCGGAGGAGAGAGGGGACUAUUGCAGCUCUUGUGCGUUACAUUCACAUCUCAGACAAAGCAGCAUUGGCCAGAGGCGAAGGAAAAGCCUGAACAGUGCAACAUGUUUGUUCUUGCAGCGGUCUGUGCAGUCAGACACCAUGAUCACAUUAUCCGCCCUGAGACUACCACAAAGAUAACAGCUCAUAGUGCCAACUAAAUACAGCUUUGUGGAAAAGCCGCUCUAUCAUUUUCUUCUGUAAGUGAAUGUUAUGUACUACAUAAACAGUGAACCAUUUAUUAUCCGAGCUAAACAGAUGGACUGCAGUGUUGUCAUCAUGAUAAUUAUCCAGUCAGCGAUGAUGGCUUCCUAGAUACAUGCUGCUCGGAGUCCCCAAAUUACUCACUACAGGAAUUUACCAGCUCUGCAGAUGCAAUUUCUGCUGCAAAGUUAUGAUAUCAUUAAAGGGCACAUUCGUUUCAGAGACUGGUAUGGCUGCUUAAGUCUGCUGUAAAUUACUAUGAAUAUUAUGACUUUGAUACUACAUAAGAGGGAUAACUAUAGUAAAGGCAGAGAAAUCAUGUUUUAAUAUCCAUUUUGCAUUUGUCAAAUGUAAAUUUUAAGAGAAGAAUGUAAACCUACAGUACAGUAAGUGUCCCAUUGCAGGGCUUUCCCUAGCACUGCUUGCAGUCUCAUAAUGUACUGGAGACUUAUUAUUUAGUUUUUGCUCCAUAAUCCCUUUAUCUCCUAUCAAUGUUUAUCAUAUAGUAUAAACAUAUGUCUACCAAAUACAUUUCCCAGCCAACUACUGAGUCAUGAUGGCAGCAGGUAGCCUAAUGGGGGUCCUGCUGCUUUUAAGGGGUCAUAGAUAAACCUUUAAGCCUGGAAAGAUUAGCAAAUGUUACCUAGAGCAAAUAGGGGAAUUAGUGUGAGAUUGGGCAGAAGUGUAUAGGCACGUGGGUGAGGUCAGAAGUGCAUACAUAUAUAAGAAGCAGGAGGUAUCCUCAUCUUCGCCUCUUAUUAGAAAACAGCUUAGUACAUACUAAGGCCCUCAUUCCGAGUUGUUCGCUCACUAGCUGCUUUUAGCAGCAUUGCACACGCUAGGCCGCCGCCCUCUGGGAGUGUAUCUAGCAUAGCAGAAUUGCUAACGAAAGAUUAGCAAUUCUGCUAUUAAGUAUUUCCUUGCAUUUUCUGAGUAGCUCCAGACCUACUCUUAGAUUGCGAUCACCUCAGUCCGUUUAGUUCCUGGUUUGACGUCACAAACACGCCCUGCGUCCGGCCAGCCACUGCUACGUUUGUACCUGGCACGCCUGCGUUUUUUAGCACACUCCCUGAAAACGGACAGUUUCCGCCCAGAAACACCCACUUCCUGUCAAUCACACUACGAUCAGCAGAGCGAUUGAAAAGCUUUGUUCGCCCGUGAGUAAAAUAGCAGUUUUGUGUAAGAUUGCUUAACGCGUGCGCCCUGCUGUGCAUACGCAUGUGCAGAACUGCCGGAUUUUAGCCUAUUAGCAAUUCUGCUAAAAUUGGCAAUUCUGCUAAAAUUAGCAGCGAGCGAACAACUCGGAAUGACCACCUAUGAGCAGUAGUCAUAACUUCUGUAGUGCAGCCGCCUGUUGCACAGCAACCAGGAUGCUGGAUUAUACAGUAUAUUCGCAGUCACAAAGGGAUUUGCCUCCACCUCUGUAUGUACCCUAUGUAUCAUUAUCAAUUAAUAUCACCUUCUAUCAAUUACAUACUUACCUACUCUCUGGCAAGGUGCAGCAGGAGACUCCCUAUUUUCCAGGUAGUCCCAUGCACCCAAAGAAGAAUGGCAAGAUCUCCCCCGCAUCUCACCCACUGCGGGGCUAGAUUAGGCAAAUUUGCAUCAUUUAGCCCCGUGUCCUACCCAUGAACCCGGAAAUCGCAGCAUUUUGAUAUAGGAGACGGCCUAGUAAGAUGCCAGCCCGGCCCCACCCCUUGAAGUGCCCAGCAGAGCCUUCUCUCCAGGCAUCUCCAGGAGAGGAGACUUUAAAAGUAGGUGGAUCAAUUACCAUGUAUGUAUGUAUGUAUGUAUGACUAUUACCCACUCUUUUCAGUCACCCUCUAUAUAUCCCUAUCACCCACUUCUACCUAUUACUAUGACUCAAUUAUUCCCACAAUAACCCACUUUCACUGUCACCCUCUAUAAAUGUCCAAUUGGAGGUCCCGUAUUGAUAUUCUAAAUGAAUACAGGACUGGCUUGCAUAAAUUGAAGAUGAAGGAUAUUGUGCUGGUAAUAUUGAUAUAUUCAGAUAGCAAUAUGUGAUAUUGCACAAAUAUAGCUGCACUAGGUUGGGGCUGCUGCUCUGAGAAACACUUGAUGUCUUCUGACUUCCUCACUGUCUCAGUAAAUCUCCGUUUACUGCUAGGACAGUCCAAACAGAUGCAGGAGACUUGUUGGGUAGAAAGAAGCAGUUGUUGGCUGUAAAUAUAUAUCACAAGGGAUAGAAUCGAUCUUUCUAAUAUAUUGGCCACGAUGUAUAAGAUCAUAUAUUGUAGUUCAUCAUGCCAAAAUAUCUAUUGGGUCAAAUUUUAAGAGAAUUGUUGUCCAUACCUAUAUCACCGUCACCCUCUAUGUAUCACUAAUAAUUCACGCUCCCUAUGUAUCAUUGUCACCCUCUACCAAUUACUAUAAUGCACUAUCACCUUCUUUGUAUCACUGUCAUACUAUCUCACUAUCUAUCGCAACCAAACUAUGUCUAUCACUAAAACCCACAUUCAUCCUCUAUCUAUAACUACCACCCGAUCACUAUCAAGGGUCAAUUCAAUUAGGAGCAAGUUUAUGAAAGUUUGUAUCAUGAGACGUGUAUAUAUCUUCUGAAUGAGUACCUGAGAGAUUUUAUUAGAAAUGCCAAUUCACGGGACUCCUGGCAAGACUGUGCGACAUUUCUACAAAUAGUGACCUGGGAGAAGUGCAUGAAAAAGUGAGGAAACCAUCCUGGACCCCAAAAAGGUGACAAAUGAAAAGGCAUGACCAUAUACAGUAGAAGGUUGUUAGUGGCCAUAAGGAAAGUACUAGAGGUUCUUAAAAGAUGUCAAAUAGCAGAUCUCCAAGGCUGGCAUUACCCUUUUCUUGUGAUCUGACCAUGCAUGAGUAGAGGUCAUCCUGGAAUUGUAUAGUUCCCCUUGGGGAUCGUGGAGCUAACACCUGGACAACACCCUGUUGUUAAACUCUGUCACUUUUCACAAGAUUAAAUCUACUAUUCCUGCUUCUUUGCCCUUCUUCAGGCAAUGCAUGUGAAAGUGGUUCACAGAACUUAUAUUGCUCAAGGCCAGAGAUGUCACAUGGUUCACGGGAAACAGGGCCAUUUUCCUAAAUGUAAUACCAUAUGUCUACAGCCACGUUGAUUCACAAUUUAUGGGAAUGUGGUAAAAUCCAAACAUUUUGACGUAAGUUUCUCCAGUUUAUUCAUUCUAUUUUCUCCUUUCUCUAUGGAUCCUUCAGCCAUGCUUUGUUACAACUUUGAUAAUUAGACACUAGGGCCACAGAAGAGAUAUUGUCUUGCUUCUGACAACUAUUGGCAGUCAAUGUGGCUAAGAAAGCCAUUCUACUUAAUUGGACAUCAAGGACCCCUUCAAUGUGUCUACCGUUUAACGGUUGCUUAUGCAAUUACUCUACCUUGAUAGAAAAGCCUCUAUUCCUUAUAUUGAGAAUGGGGUCUUAUGGUUCCAUAGGAAAUGGGAAUCCUUUAUUACUCCAUUUGAUUCUCAGACUCAAUCCAAUGUGUAUAAGCUUUUUGAAAACACAACAUGGUACAUAUAUAGACAACUGGCCAACACCCCUGAAUUGAUUGUGUUUGUGUUAGAUUGUGUGUUAGUUCAGAUCACCUGUUUUAUCCCUCCCAUAAUUUGUGAUGAUUUUUAAAUGUUAAUUGUCAUUGCACUGACAAUUGUCAUUGUUGUUUUAGUCCAUUAUACGGACACAUACAUUCUAUGUUAUAUUUGUAUAUUGCAGUAACUUCAAUUUUCCAGCCCAAAAUGUUUUGCUAUUAGCAUUCUGUUGCCCAUUUAUAUAAGACACUUUUUCUGUAUCAA